UUUACCAGACCCGGAAGGCGCGGGCCUUAGUGGCGGACGGGUGAGUAACGCGUGGGGAACCUGCCCCGUACCGGGGGAUAACACCUGGAAACAGGUGCUAAUACCGCAUAACAGAAGGGGACGCAUGUUCCUUUCUUGAAAACUCCGGUGGUACGGGAUGGACCCGCGUCUGAUUAGCUGGUUGGCGGGGUAACGGCCCACCAAGGCGACGAUCAGUAGCCGGCCUGAGAGGGCGGACGGCCACAUUGGGACUGAGACACGGCCCAAACUCCUACGGAAGGCAGCAG
rnacentral:rRNA from 1 species